UAUUUAAGUAGUGAUGGCAGAAUUGCUCUCCCAAAUUUGCAUCAGAUCUUGAAGCAGUCAUGAUGACAUAACGAUGCAUGAAAGUAUGCACAGAGGGACCAAAUGGUAGUAUUUCUUAGGGCCAUCCCCAUGCUGGACAUUUGCAGGGCUGCUGAGAUGGCCCAUUCAAUGAGGGUUCAGGCUAACAGUCUCUCCAGAAAGGGGUGUUCAAUGCCGUCAUGGAAGUAAUACACGUGGAAACUGUCUGUGCUGAAACUGCCUUACCUUUCCUACUGUCAGCAAAUGAGACACAAAGCCAAGGAGAUAACCUAAAAGGAUUGGUUCGGUCCAGAUAAUAGGCCAGUGCUCACCUUAUGUCCAAAGUAUGAAGUCGCUCUUCAUCACUACUUGAGUGCAGCUUCAGGGGAAAAAAAAAACAGGUAAGUAUUGGUUUGCUAAGAUGCAACGCUGGAACUAUUUUGGUUAAAAAUUUAGACUGAGGCCUCAAGGCUCUUUAUCUUGGAAAACAACACACAUGGAGGUCCUGCUGUUAGAGCCUGAAGCUCACACACUUGAGGGAAAAAUUGAUGGCACUCCUUAUUGUCUUUCAUUGUGAAUAGGCCAACUAUUGAAUACCCCAAGCUUUGAAGAUGGUCCUCAGCCCACUGUUCUUGAAGGAUCAUUUGUGAUUCCAGGAGAAUGUCCUGAUGAGAUGGUCGCCCAAUUGAUUCUGGGAGUCAGCAUGAGUCUUAGACGAUGGAAAAGACAGAUAAGCUGGACAUGGCAGAGAACCUGGGGCUUGGAUCUACCUUGCACUAACACAUCAUCUAGCUCCUUCUGCUACAUUGCUUUUACCAAGGUUACACCCUUAUACGCAUCCCAAGCUCCAUGGGAUUUUCCUUCAUUGCAAUGUACCCUGGGAUGCCUCUAAAGAAGCGAAACCAUGCUCCACGGAACUAGUGAUCUCUAUGGAAUUGUGCAUCUGAUUUAUGGACAGAGGCAAUGAAUUUAAUUGAAAUAAGGUGCCCUGUACCCUAAGAUUACUACGCUCAAUUAUGAUGAUAAUUUACUAUGCAAGAAACUCAGAUAACCACAGUGAUGAGCAUGGUAUAAAUAGACAGCUAAAGAGAAAGAGGAGAUGCAACCACCAUGGAACUCUAUCAGUGCCUGGAGAUUGCCUUGGGAGGGGAGAUGGUUAGAAAAGUGGCUUUUUUUUUUUUUUUUUUUUACUACAGGGCAUGGUGAUACAAAG